rnacentral:rRNA from 1 species
GACGAACGCUGGCGGCGUGCUUAACACAUGCAAGUCGAACGGUGAAGCCCUUCGGGGUGGAUCAGUGGCGAACGGGUGAGUAACACGUGAGCAACCUGCCCCUGGCUCUGGGACAACCACUGGAAACGGUGGCUAAUACCGGAUACGACCCGCACAGGCAUCUGUUGUGGGUGGAAAGUUUUUCGGCUGGGGCUGGGCUCGCGGCCGAUCAGCGUGUUGGUGGGGUUGUGGCCUACCAAGGCGACGACGGGUAGCCGGCCUGAGAGGGCGACCGGCCACACUGGGACUGAGACACGGCCCAGACUCCUACGGGAGGCAGCAGUGGGGAAUAUUGCAAAAUGGGCGAAAGCCUGAUGCAGCGACGCCGCGUGAGGGAUGACGGCCUUCGGGUUGUAAACCUCUUUCAGCUCCGAAGAAGCGCAAGUGACGGUAGGAGCAGAAGAAGCACCGGCUAACUACGUGCCAGCCGCCGCGGUAAAAC